rnacentral:rRNA from 1 species
GAUCAUGGCUCAGGAUGAACGCUAGCUACAGGCUUAACACAUGCAAGUCGAGGGGCAGCAGGACGAUAGCUUGCUAUGUUGCUGGCGACCGGCGCACGGGUGAGUAACGCGUAUCCAACCUUCCCCUUAGUAGGGCAUAGCCCGGUGAAAAUCGGAUUAAUACCCUAUGUUGUGUCAUGAGGACAUCUGAAUAACACUAAAGAUUUAUCGCUAAGGGAUGGGGAUGCGUCCGAUUAGGUAGUCGGCGGGGUAACGGCCCACCGAGCCCUCGAUCGGUAGGGGUUCUGAGAGGAAGGUCCCCCACACUGGUACCGAGACACGGACCAGACUCCUACGGGAGGCAGCAGUGAGGAAUAUUGGUCAAUGGGGCGUAAGCCUGAACCAGCCAAGUAAGCGUGCAGGAUGACGGCCCUAUGGGUUGUAAACUGCUUUUAUACGGGGAUAAAGUGAGGGACGUGUCCCUUAUUGUAGGUACCGUAUGAAUAAGGACCGGCUAAUUCCGUGCCAGCCGCCGC